GGCAUUCAAGGGGUCACUUGUUCAUUCCUCUGCCUUUGUUAGGGUUGCCUAAAAAUUACCCAAGAGUUGUAGGAGCUGACAACCAGAUUUUUAUUCUAUGUGAAAGUUGAUUUGGAGAACUCCCUUUUACAUCUUACACCUCCAAGGCACAGGGACUUCACUGCACAUGAUUUGAUAGUUUGAGAAUUUCAUAUUGUUACUUACUCCAACAACCACACAAC